rnacentral:tRNA from 1 species
GCAUACUUAUCUCAGUGGUUAGAGUGUCUGCGUAGUGUCUGGAGGUUGCAGGUUCGAAUCCUGCAGUGUGCA